UCAGGAUGAACGCUAGCGGCAGGCUUAACACAUGCAAGUCGAGGGGCAUCGGGAGUAGCAAUACUGCCGGCGACCGGCGCAAGGGUGCGUAACGCGUGAGCAACAGUGCCCGUAGUCAGGGGGGAUAAUCCAUGGAAACGUGGUCUAAUACCCCAUAGUAAUUAUGUAAGGCAUCUUAUAUAAUUUAAAGCUUUGGUGGAUACGGAUUGGCUCGCGUGACAUUAGCUAGAUGGUAAGGUAACGGCUUACCAUGGCUACGAUGUCUAGGGGUUCUGAGAGGAAGGUCCCCCCACACUGGAACUGAGACACGGUCCAGACUCCUACGGGAGGCAGCAGUGAGGAAUAUUGGACAAUGGAUGGAAAUCUGAUCCAGCCAUGCCGCGUGCAGGAAAAGACGGCCCUAUGGGUUGUAAACUGCUUUUGUAUGGGAGCAAUAAGGGCUACGCGUAGUCCGAUGAGAGUACCAUACGAAUAAGCACCGGCUAACUCCGUGCCAGCAGCUGC
rnacentral:rRNA from 1 species